CGAGAUUAACUAUUUGCAUUCUCCUGGAACAAUGGAUGAUUUGAAGCCCGUGACACAUCUUUUUGCCGUUGACAUCACUUUAGCGAGUGGGAUUAAGUUACUUCGCCAAGGCUUCAAUUAUCUGAUAGAAGGGUCCAAAGAUGCUCGUGUAGGUCUUCUGU